rnacentral:rRNA from 1 species
AGAGUUCGAUCCUGGCUCAGGAUGAACGCUGGCGGCGCGCCUAACACAUGCAAGUCGAACGGCACCUGCCUUCGGGCAGAAGCGAGUGGCGAACGGCUGAGUAACACGUGGAGAACCUGCCCCCUCCCCCGGGAUAGCCGCCCGAAAGGACGGGUAAUACCGGAUACCCCGGGGUGCCGCAUGGCACCCCGGCUAAAGCCCCGACGGGAGGGGAUGGCUCCGCGGCCCAUCAGGUAGACGGCGGGGUGACGGCCCACCGUGCCGACAACGGGUAGCCGGGUUGAGAGACCGACCGGCCAGAUUGGGACUGAGACACGGCCCAGACUCCUACGGGAGGCAGCAGUGGGGAAUCUUGCGCAAUGGGGGGAACCCUGACGCAGCGACGCCGCGUGCGGGACGGAGGCCUUCGGGUCGUAAACCGCUUUCAGCAGGGAAGAGUCAAGACUGUACCUGCAGAAGAAGCCCCGGCUAACUACGUGCCAGCAGCCGCGGUAAUACGUAGGGGGCGAGCGUUAUCCGGAUUCAUUGGGCGUAAAGCGCGCGUAGGCGGCCCGGCAGGCCGGGGGUCGAAGCGGGGGGCUCAACCCCCCGAAGCCCCCGGAACCUCCGCGGCUUGGGUCCGGUAGGGGAGGGUGGAACACCCGGUGUAGCGGUGGAAUGCGCAGAUAUCGGGUGGAACACCGGUGGCGAAGGCGGCCCUCUGGGCCGAGACCGACGCUGAGGCGCGAAAGCUGGGGGAGCGAACAGGAUUAGAUACCCUGGUAGUCCCAGCCGUAAACGAUGGACGCUAGGUGUGGGGGGACGAUCCCCCCGUGCCGCAGCCAACGCAUUAAGCGUCCCGCCU